AUGGUUCCCUGCUGUUUCCUUGUGGCCGUGCUGGCCCCUCUGGUGGUAGCCCUGGAACAGUCUCCAGACAUGGUGGUAAAGGAAGGCCAGUCCGUGAAUCUGGAAUGUUCCCAGAUGAAAUCCUCCAGCACAACGUUGUACUGGUUCAUGCGGCCUUCAGAGAAGAAUUCCAGUCUGACCCAACUGGCAUUUGCAAUAGAAGGUGGUAAUGCAGAAGUGGAGAAGGGAUUUGAGAGCCAUUUCAAGAGCAGCGACAUCAAAGGAGACAGUAUCACCCUCACAAUAGAACGUGCCUUUCUCAAUGACUCUGGCACAUACUACUGUGCAGAGAGUGAACACAGUGAAAAGUGGAAAAAGCUAUUUUACUAA